CUUGCCAUAACUCAGAGGUAGAGCAUAUCUGCCUUGCAUGUAGAAGGUCCCAAGUUCAAACCCCGGCUGGAAAGA